ACUUUCUAAUGCUAGUGAUGCCAACUUCUCGUCCAUAUUAACUGAACCGUUGUACUCUUGUAAAUCAGGAAGACAAUCACCCUCUAAGAUGGAAAUUUCCCAAGAAUUGCUGUAGCCCAUUGGCUCCCUCUGUGCUGUCCUCUUAGAAGAAGCUGAUUUAUAACCUACAUUCUCCCACUUGCUCACUCUCCACUAUCAGGCUGUCCUCCAGACAAAGCUAAGUGGGUUCAGAAGAAACAAAUAACUACGAUGUUCCCCGUAGGCCUGGUUUCUUUUUAUCAGUUUGUGUUUGGUGAUUCCUCGUUCUUUUUCAAGUUAGAGAUUUUCCUCAAAAUCUGGUUCACCUGGCUUGCCAAGAGUGGCUGAUUGAUUCCUAGUGUGCUCAAAGUGUUCCAUUGCCUGCGGUCUACAAGAAGUAUUUCCUGAGUCUGGAGAUCCUUCCGUCACUUGUGGAUUCACAGGAAAU